UACGUAGGGGGCAAGCGUUGUCCGGAAUCAUUGGGCGUAAAGAGCGUGUAGGCGGCCCGAUAAGUCCGCCGUGAAAGUCCAGGGCUCAACCCUGGAAUGCCGGUGGAAACUGUCGGGCUGGAGUCCGGAAGAGGCGAGUGGAAUUCCUGGUGUAGCGGUGAAAUGCGCAGAUAUCAGGAGGAACACCGGUGGCGAAGGCGGGUCUCUGGGCCGUAACUGACGCUGAGGAGCGAAAGCGUGGGGAGCGAACAGG
rnacentral:rRNA from 1 species